rnacentral:rRNA from 1 species
UACGUAGGGACCAAGCGUUGUCCGGAAUCAUUGGGCGUAAAGAGCGUGUAGGCGGCUUGUUAAGUCUUGCGUGAAAUCUCGGGGCUCAACCCCGAGCGGUCGUGAGAAACUGGCAGGCUAGAGUGCGGGAGAGGAGAGUGGAAUUCCUGGUGUAGCGGUGAAAUGCGCAGAUAUCAGGAAGAACACCCGUGGCGAAGGCGGAUCUCUGGGCCGAUACUGACGCUGAGGAGCGAAAGCGUGGGGAGCGAACAGG